AUUGAACGCUGGCGGCAUGCUUUACACAUGCAAGUCGAACGGUCUUAGGUGCUUGCACCUAAGUUAGUGGCGAACGGGUGAGUAAUGCAUCGGAACGUACCGUGUAGUGGGGGAUAACCCGGCGAAAGUCGGAUUAAUACCGCAUACGAUCUAAGGAUGAAAGCAGGGGAUCGCAAGACCUUGCGCUAUACGAGCGGCCGAUGUCGGAUUAGCUAGUUGGUAGGGUAAAGGCCUACCAAGGCAACGAUCCGUAGCGGGUCUGAGAGGAUGAUCCGCCACACUGGGACUGAGACACAGACCAGACUCCUACGGGAGGCAGCAGUGGGGAAUUUUGGACAAUGGGCGAAAGCCUGAUCCAGCCAUGCCGCGUGAGUGAAGAAGGCCUUCGGGUUGUAAAGCUCUUUUGUCCGGGAGCAAAUCCUGUUCACUAAUACUGAGCGGGGCUGAGAGUACCGGAAGAAUAAGCACCGGCUAACUACGUGCCAGCCGCCGCAGUAACAC
rnacentral:rRNA from 1 species